GUUUCUGGGCUUUCUAAAGUGUUAGGAUUGUAGUACUAAUGUAAUACUACAAUCCCAAUCAAGUUUCAUGGCAAUCCUACAUCAUAACAGAAAGAUAUAGGCCUCCAAAAGUCCGUCCCGAUCUCGUCUAUGUUUCUCAUCACGCCAACGACAGGUUUCUAUCUUCUGUCCAACGACAGGUUUAUUAUGGGUCAUGCUUUGAGGAUAGCAUCUGAUUCCUGUCUCUCAUCUUUGGAAUUUGUUUCUAUGUAUUUGUCUCUCCUUUUUAUUUUCUUAUUCUUUGCUUACUUCCCCUCAUAGUUAGCAGUGUUAAAUUGGGUAUAUGGGUUUUCUCUAAUAAAUUGUGUUUGUUUUGUGCACAGGACUCUUCGGGGACGACGUUGAUGGAUCUGAUAACUUCAGACCCGACGCCGAUACCAUCGUCUGCUCCUCCACCUCCUUCUCCCUCUUCAGUGUCACCCGCGGCAUUGCCGCCUCCGAGCAGCGAAAUCGGAAAGCCGUUGAUCUUCAUUUUUACCCCUCAGAAAAUUUUAGGUGUUUGAUAAAGUUUCAUGUUUAGAUUGAGUUUUUUAGAACCCGCAUUUGAUUAUGAUUUCCUUUUCCUUUGAGUCUUAUGGUGCAUGUUGAUGUCUUCCCCUGCCCUCCUCCUUCCCCUUCACACUCAUGGUAGUCAUACGGAAUACCUAUGUUCUGGGUAAUGCACCUGAUUCAAAACACGAUUUUGCAGUGACGGAAGACUUUUCCUGUCCAUUCUGCUUGGUAAAAUGUGCAAGCUAUAAUGUAGUCCUG
rnacentral:lncRNA from 1 species